rnacentral:ncRNA from 1 species
CAAAACGCUAUGAGAAAGUUGAGUAACGUGGUCAAAGUCGAAAGCGAGCUUCGUUUGGUGAGAGGAAGCCGAUAAGAGCAUGUGAAAAUCCCUUUUGAGCGAUGUACCGAAUUUGUUAAAGUAACGUGCAUUGGUGACACCCAUUAACGUGUUAGCGUAUCGCUUCAUCGAGGAAGUCGUACGUGAAGAGGCAGAACCAGCAAUGAUUCUGCAAAAUAAGGUGGUACAGUGCCGUAAGCGCCCUUAGU